rnacentral:rRNA from 1 species
GAUGAACGCUGGCGGCGUGCCUAAUACAUGCAAGUCGAGCGAACAGACGAGGAUCUUGCUCCUCUGACGUUAGCGGCGGACGGGUGAGUAACACGUGGAUAACCUACCUAUUAGACUGGGAUAACUUCGGGAAACCGUAGCUAAUACCGGAUAAUAUAGUGAACCGCAGGGUUCAAUAGUGAAUGACGGUUUUGCUGUCACUUAUAGAUGGAUCCGCGCGGCAUUAGCUAGUUGGUAAGGUAACGGCUUACCAAGGCGACGAUGCGUAGCCGACCUGAGAGGGGGAUCGGCCACACUGGAAGUGAGCCACGAUCCAGGCUCCUACGGGAGGCAGCAGUAGGGACUCUUCGGAAAUGGGCGAAAGCCUGACGGAGCGACGCCGCGUGAGUGCUGAAGGUCUUCGGAUCGUAAAACUCUGUUAUUAGGGAAGAACAAAUGUGUAAGUAACUAUGCACGUCUUGACGGUACCUAAUCAGAAAGCCCCGGCUAACUACGUG